GUGAAUCAAAACUGUAUUAGGAAAAUCCAGGGAACCAGAAGUCCACCGUCAGGGUCUGUGGGAGUUCGGAUUGAUAGAAGCCAGUAUUGAACAGACCAAGUGCUACGAAAUUGCUCAUUCAAUUUUGUGUCCCUGCUUCUGCAGUGAUGCUUUAAGCAAAGUCUAUAUAGAGUCUGCAGGAUUCACUGAGUUUCAAUGAAUGGCUGGAGAGCAAGCAGGAACGUGCAACAAAAUACAUAAACCAAAGCGAGAAUUCUCCAUCACCUCUGCUGCAGUUAUGGAUUGUGUCUAAUAAGUAGUUUGGCAGUGCUGUAACACAUACAUAAAACUGUAUGCAAAGACAUGGAGCUGUGUGAUUGAAGGCUGUGUACAACCUGCAAGUAACCGGAGCAAUCCGGUCUAAUUAAUGAAAGCUGAGAAUGCUUCAGUUGGAG